rnacentral:rRNA from 1 species
AACAGGAUUAGAUACCCUGGUAGUCCACGCUGUAAACGAUGUCGACUUGGAGGUUGUGCCCUUGAGGCGUGGCUUCCGGAGCUAACGCGUUAAGUCGACCGCCUGGGGAGUACGGCCGCAAGGUUAAAACUCAAACGAAUUGACGGGGGCCCGCACAAGCGGUGGAGCAUGUGGUUUAAUUCGAUGCAACGCGAAGAACCUUACCUACUCUUGACAUCCAGAGAAUUUGCUAGAGAUAGCUUAGUGCCUUCGGGAACUCUGAGACAGGUGCUGCAUGGCUGUCGUCAGCUCGUGUUGUGAAAUGUUGGGUUAAGUCCCGCAACGAGCGCAACCCUUAUCCUUUGUUGCCAGCACGUAAUGGUGGGAACUCAAAGGAGACUGCCGGUGAUAAACCGGAGGAAGGUGGGGAUGACGUCAAGUCAUCAUGGCCCUUACGAGUAGGGCUACACACGUGCUACAAUGGCAUAUACAAAGAGAAGCGAACUCGCGAGAGCAAGCGGACCUCAUAAAGUAUGUCGUAGUCCGGAUUGGAGUCUGCAACUCGACUCCAUGAAGUCGGAAUCGCUAGUAAUCGUAGAUCAGAAUGCUACGGUGAAUACGUUCCCGGGCCUUGUACACACCGCCCGUCACACCAUGGGAGUGGGUUGCAAAAGAAGUAGGUAGCUUAACCUUCGGGAGGGCGCUUACCACUUUGUGAUUCAUGACUGGGGUGAAGUCGUAACAAGGUAACC